UACGUAGGGACCAAGCGUUGUCCGGAAUCAUUGGGCGUAAAGAGCGUGUAGGCGGCCUGUUAAGUCUUGCGUGAAAUCUCGGGGCUCAACCCCGAGCGGUCGUGAGAAACUGGCGGGCUAGAGUGCGGGAGAGGAGAGUGGAAUUCCUGGUGUAGCGGUGAAAUGCGCAGAUAUCAGGAAGAACACCCGUGGCGAAGGCGGCCCUCUGGAACGCAACUGACGCUGAGACGCGAAAGCGUGGGGAGCAAACAGG
rnacentral:rRNA from 1 species